rnacentral:ncRNA from 1 species
AUUCUUCAGGGCAGGGUGAGAUUCCCGACCGGUGGUAUAGUCCACGAGCGAAAGCUGAUCCGGUGAGAUUCCGGAACCGACAGUAUAGUCUGGAUGGGAGAAGAA